rnacentral:rRNA from 1 species
UGGGGAAUUUUGCACAAUGGGGGAAACCCUGAUGCAGCGACGCCGCGUGAUUUAGAAGGCCUUCGGGUUGUAAAAAUCUUUUCUAUGGGAAGAAAAUGACAGUACCAUAGGAAUAAGGACUGGCUAAUUACGUGCCAGCAGCCGCGGUAAUACGUAAGGUCCGAGCGUUGUCCGGAAUCAUUGGGCGUAAAGGGUACGUAGGCGGGUAAGCAAGUUAGAAGUGAAAUCCUGUAGCUCAACUACAGUAAGCUUUUAAAACUGCUCAUCUUGAGAUAUGGAAGGGAAAGUGGAAUUCCUAGUGUAGCGGUGAAAUGCGCAGAUAUUAGGAGGAAUACCGGUGGCGAAGGCGACUUUAUGGACAUAAUCUGACGCUGACGUAUGACAGCGUGGGUAGCAAACAGG